AUGGAUUGUAUUUCGAUCCGACUUGCUUGAAAUUAAGGCGUAGUUAAUGAUUGUUGUUUGAACAAUUUAGGACGACAAUAACAUAUCUAGUGAAAUUCCAUGAGUGGGGUCGGGAGAGGAUAGAGUGUAUGCAACAGACCUUAUCCCUAUCUCAUAGAGAUAAAAGACAUUUCUGUUUAAGUGGCAAAUAUAGGUGAGUUUGGUCGGG
rnacentral:misc_RNA from 1 species